rnacentral:lncRNA from 1 species
GAAGGCAAGUCUUCAGGAUGCAUGAACCUACUCAUAAAUAAUCUCAUAAAAGCAAACUCAGCUUCUAGUUUUUUUGCUUUUGUUUCAUGACAUUCAUCUCCUUAAUAUGAAGUUGUUGCAUCACUUUUAUAUCUUCUUACAACUUAUGUAUCUGAACUCUUUCCUCUGAUGGCAUGCUAUUUGAAGAAACUCCCACAUCUUUACCCCACAUGUUAGAGGGAGUUGGACCAAGUCCUAAACCAUGUAUUUGACUAGCUCUUUCUGCCCCC